rnacentral:lncRNA from 1 species
CGCUGCGGCUCUUCACCUCUGGCGUUGCUGCUACCGCGGCCUUUUUCCUUUCCUCUCAUCGCUACAGCAAAUUGCUGUUCUUGCGGUGCAUUUCCCUCCCCUGCCGCCGCUGCGGCUCUUCACCUCUGGCAUUGCUGCCACCGCGGCCUUUUUCCUUUCCUCUCAUCGCUACAGCAAAUUGCUGUUCUUGCGGUGCAUUUCCCUCCCCUGCCGCCGCUGCGGCUCUUCACCUCUGGCGUUGCUGCCACCGCGGCCUUUUUCCUUUCCUCUCAUCGCUACAGCAAAUUGCUGUUCUUGCGGUGCAUUUCCCUCCCCUGCCGCCGCUGCGGCUCUUCACCUCUGGCAUUGCUGCUACCGCGGCCUUUUUCCUUUCCUCUCAUCGCUACAGCAAAUUGCUGUUCUUGCGGUGCAUUUCCCUUCCCUGCCGCCGCUGCGGCUCUUCAC